rnacentral:lncRNA from 1 species
GUUUUAUAAUUUUUUACCCAGGAGUAUAUGAAGGGUGGAUGGAUUUUCAUUUCCUCACUGUGUGACGAUGACCGCGGGGCAUUGUGGGAUUUUUUUCUUAAGGACCUGAGCCCUAGGACCAUGCCUCAGGACUACCUGGCAUGAUGACUCCUUGCUGUCCCCAGUCCACCUGGCCGUGCUGCUGCUCCAGUUUCAACUGUUCUGCCUGCGGCUUUGGAACCCUGACCUGUUCACCGGACGUGCUUGUUGCACCCUCGACAACUACUAUGAUUAUUAUUAUUAUUUGACCAUGCUGGUCAUUUAUGAACAUUUUAACAUCUUGACCAUGUUCUGUUAUAAUAUCCACCCUGCACAGCCAGAAGAGGACUGGCCAUCCCUCAUAGCCUGGUUCCUCUCUAGGUUUCUUCCUAGGUUUUUGGCCUUUCUAGGGAGUUUUUCCUAGCCACCGUGCUUCUUUCACAUGCAUUGCUUGCUGUUUGGGGUUUUAGGCUGGGUUUCUGUACAGCACUUUGAGAUAUCAGCUGAUGUACGAAGGGCUAUAUAAACACAUUUGAUUUGAUUUUCGGUCAAAAGAGAUGGUUGCAGCAACAUUAUGUACAAAACAAAGUUACACAUGUUGCAUGUGUGUGUGAUUAGUUGUGUUAGUGUGUUUUACCUGCUGAGCAAACAUGUUAGUGUGUCUGCUCUCACAGUGGGCCCACAGAGAGGGAGGAUCUACAGUGCUGUUAAUGGGG